AUUCAAACUUAAGAGUUUGAUCCUGGCUCAGAACGAACGCUGGCGGCAGGCUUAAUACAUGCAAGUCGAGCGGUCUCCUUCGGGAGACAGCGGCGGACGGGUUAGUAACGCGUGGGAACGUGCCCUUUAGUACGGAAUAGCCAUUGGAAACGAUGAUUAAUACCGUAUA
rnacentral:rRNA from 2 species